rnacentral:lncRNA from 1 species
UUUUUUUCUUUUGCCUGUUUGUUUGUUUGUUUGUGUUUUUUGGGGGGUGCUGCCCACAGCAUGCAGAAGUUCCCCGGCCUGGGAUUGAAUCCACACCACAGCGGUGACAAGGCCAGACCCUUAACCUGCUGAACUACUAGGGAACUUCCGAAACCUUUUGUAAGUCAGUAUUUCUGCUCAACAAAGACAUGCUAUGAAUGGAACUUCUACUGCACGCCCAGCACUACACAAAUGCCAUAUAACAUCAUCAUAACAUGGGCAUCAUUAUGGUUAUGAUGCCCAUUCUACAGAUGUGGAAAUUUACUUGGCUUCACACUGAUGUCAAGGGUCAGAGCUAGAAGGAAAAUUCCACAUUCUGUCUCUCAAACUAGCACCUCUCUCCACACACAUACACACCACACUCACACACAUCAGCCGCAUUUAAAGAAAUACUAACUAAGCUUCUACUAAAUGUUUUAUAGUGCAUGGUCACUGAAGAAUAGAAGGACCGGUCAGACUGCACCAUUGCUCUGUAGGCAAUAUGUAAAUAGAGAUAUGAGGCAAUGGUCUAUUAUAGUAAAAUGUCAGUGUUUGAGAUAUAGAAAGAAAAUAUCCCCGGAAAGGUUACAAAAGGGAGAGUUUUGCAGAGAUAGUAAUUAUAGGAACUGCAUUCCUGGACAGUUCUAGUUUUUAAAUAUUUGAACUAAUGUGCUAAUUUACUUGUCAGAUUUCCUAUCACAGUUAUUCGUCCAUAAAAUAUGCUUCUGUGGCUACCAGAGCUGCAUAAAGCCUUGGGGAGGAAGAAAGUCUUAAAGCUGAGCCGUGGUGGCUGGGAAGCAGGUGGGUGGGCUGAGUUGAACACAUGAUGGAUGUGCUUUGGGUUGACGGUGACAAAGAUCGUGCUGUAUUUGGUGAGAAGUCAGGAGAGAGGACAGGUCAGAAUGGUAUGUCUGAUUAGUCUUUGUGGCAUUUGUAAGUUUAUUUUUCCCUCCAAAGGUGAGGCUCAAUAUCAUAGUUUUCCACACAGUCCUUGAGUUGGUCAAGAACAAUGGUCCAGCCUAUUCUAGGAUCAUAUAAAUAAAUGGCAUUGAGAUAGGUCUUUGCUUUUACAGACACCUAGCCCUUUAAGUGCUGAAUUGGCACCAUUGCCACAUACAUCUUUUUCUAGCUUUGUUAAUCUUAUUUUCACCUUCUGCAAAGAGCAGUAUAUCCAAGGUACAAUCAUUAAUUGAAUAUGAUUCAAUCUGGUCCCAUCUUUAAUAAGAAACCAAAGAAGGAAAUUCAAUUAGGCUCACCCUUUCCAUUUCAAAAGAUCAAGUCCUCCCCUUUCACAGUUAAAAUUAUGCAAGAUUAUCUUCUUUGUGGAAGGCUACAGGAAAAUUUGGAUUCCUGUCAAAUAUUUAGUGUAAUAUCCCGGGAUCGGGAUUAAUAUAGCCUUUCAGCAGCUUGCUCCGAAUUUCUGUCAAUGUAAUCUCUCCUUUGGAAGGUUUUGAAUAAAAGGCAUUCUCUACUCUUGCGUGACUCAAAAUAUUCAGCAGAAAUGGCAGUGAGAUCAGUUUCAGGACAACUUCUCAUGUCUUCUGGUCAUGAAAAUUCAGACACCUCAAUCUCAUUCCCAUAGCUUGGUGUGAUCCCCUAACUCCUUAGAGAAAAUACAAAUCAUUGAAGCUAGAUUUUAGGUCUGUGUGAAUAUCUUGGAGUUGAUCUAAAAUCACAACAACAGCAGCAGUAGAAAAACAAAUAGGAUAGAAUAAAAAAAAAAACUAACCAUCAUUGCUGGAAUAUUGUUAAAUCCUCCUAGAAAAUAAUAUUAUGAAUAUUUACUAUUAUUAUUAUCAGAGUUAAGGUUUGUUUCCUCUACUUUAGGUUCUUGAUACUCUAAGUGCUUUAUUUUCUCAAACGUGUAUCUGUUUGACUCUAAAGACAUUGGCUUUCACCCUUGAUUCUAACCCCCAAAUUAGAUUGUCUUUUCAACCCCAGUUAAUAGGCCCAUUUUGCAAGAAGGAACUAUCUAUAUCCCAUUAUAUUUUAUACAGGGUUAUCUACAAAUCUUUUUUGGGACCUAGAGUUAUGUGUAAAUAACUGGGACUGUUUUGUCCUCCCAAGCUUUAUUUUGCAGUCUGGUGGCAUGAUGGGUUACAAAUAUAAUCAUAAAAGAGUUUACUUAUGCAAAGCUUUCCAUGUCAUUUCAAUGAGUUCUGCCUCAAAGCACUGAUCAAACAGAAACUUUAGUGUCCCCUGGUAUUCCAGCUAAAAAGUUAAAUAUUUGUAAUAGGCAUCUUGAAGUCAUAUUCCCAAUACUGGCAAGAGCAUUCAUUUCUUUACAUGCCAUGCUGCCAAAGGCUGGCACCCACCAGCACCUGUGGUUCACACUGAAAUCUGAGUCCUGGGUUGGUGUUUUCUUUUCCAUUAAUGGGUUCUACUGAGCAGGCAAGGUGUGGACUUGCAUCUCUGAAUUGCAGAGCAAAGGAAUAACACUGGCUCCAUCAGCAACUCAAGUUACAAAGAUCCCAAGGGAGAACCAGGUUAGAUUCUGCAGUCACAACAUUCUAGAACAGGGCUUUCACAAAGGAUUUUUAAAUGCAGGCGAAUCCCUUCUUCAAGUGAAAUAUUAUGUGUAAGUCCAGCAAGUAAAAUAGAUAAAAUAAUAACGGCCACUGUUUCUUUGGUUUUUUUUCUGUCACAGGUACCAUGCUAAUCUCCCUGCCUACUUUUCCUUAUUAAAUCUCUAGGAUUGUAUGAGUAGGUGCAUUAUUCUCCUUUAUAAAGCUGGCUUAGAGAGUUUCAAUAACUUAUCCAAGUCAUGUGCCCUCCCGGUGGAGGAACACAAUUCCAACGCAGGCAGCCUGACACCUGAGCUCAGAUCCUUGGCCACAAAAAGCAGACCUGCCUUUGUGAGAACAGAUACAGGCUACAGGUGUUCUGAGGAAUCAUCUAGACUUUGGUCCUUACCCACUUGAUGGCCAUCAACAUCUCUAAGGCCCAGAGAGCACAUAGAAGUAUGCAAAGUGACAGUAAACUGAGAAACUCAAGUUUACUCUCUAAAUCAUGCACACACACACACACACACACAAACACCUAUCUCACAUGUUCUCUAUCUAUUCAUCCAUUAAUGGAUACAAGCUGAUCUCAUACCUUGUCUAUUGUGAAUAAUCCUGUAACAAAUGAAAUGUAUCUCUUUGAGAUAAAACUUUGGGUUUUUCAGAGGACCCUCCUUAAAAGUUGCUUCUGAAGAUGAUAAGGUAGCUUGCCAGUUAUGUAAUAACCUUCUUCCUUCCUUCAUUUUUUUGAGCAUAUAAACUUGUACCAAGAGUUAGGAACUGAAUUGAGCAUUAAGAUUACAACAAAGAAUAGAACUAUGUUACUAGCACCAGUGAUCCCACAGGUAGGGUGACCACCAAUUUACCAUCCAUGUUAGGACAUUCUUGGGACUAUAAUGGGGCACUAUUAGUAAUUAAGUGGGGACAAGAGGAAUAGGGCACAAGUGUCCUGAGAAAACUAGCUCCUAGGGGAGUGGGCAUUUCAUGCGUAUGGACCCAUGUUGAUAAUGUCUUACUGAUGCACCGAGAGAGAUAUGAACAGGGUGUACUAUGCGCAGAGAAGUAGUGUACCCAAGCAGGUUAGGAUGAAACAGGCCUCUCAGAAAGGGGAUGAUGAAGCAGAGUCCUUAAAGAUGAGUAGGCAUUCACAAGGUGAAGCAUUAAGGAUCGGCAGGCUGUGUAAAAAGAGGUCAUGAGCCCAGGGAAGAAACGGCAGGGUGACAGAGGAGAAUUAACAGCAACUGGAGCAAAAGAUGUGAGGCAGAGACUGUCAGGCCAUGCAUAGAGUGGCCAGAAAAAGUUAAGGAAUUUGCGUUUCACUUUCUAGAUGCUGAGCAAUCAUUGAAGACAUGUAAGCAGAGUAGAUAGAGGAACAUUGUCAGUGGAGCUGCCUGGUGCUGCUGUAGGGGAGACAAAACCAGAACCAGAGAGAGGAGCAAGGAAAGUGAUUCCCAAGUCUGAUUCCACAGAAGUCACGUGAGGAUCAUUACAAAAUACCAGUAUCUGGGCCCCGCACCAUCCUGAGUAAAACCACAUCUCUUUGGGUGGAUCCAAGCCCUGGUCAUAUUUUUACCUCCCCAUGUGAUUCUAACAUGCAGCCGUAAGUGAGAAUCCCUGAGCUAGAAGAACAUCAGUUGAAAUAAAGGAAAGAAAGAAUUGAUCAUUUAGAGCAUACAGUGGUAGUUGUAUGCUCUAAAUAAAUGGGUGUAGUGGAUGGAUUUCAGAAAAAAAUUUUUGAAAGAGAAUGAUAAAUGUAGCAAGAAUUGAUAGUCAGUUGGAUGGGAGUGGAGGGUAGGAGGUGAUCUAUCAAGAGUGGUUCCCUGCUUGGAAGUCUGGGUGAAGGGGAGUGCCUGCAACUGAAGUAACACAUUAAUGAAGAGUAGCUAUUUUACGUGAGAUGAUGGAGAGUUCCAUUUUGGUGAUAUAGAAUGUCAGGUGUCCCAAAAGAGUUGUGGAAAGUGUGCAGAGUCACAGAAAUAGGAGCCAGUGAAGAAUACCAAUAAUUAAGUGGCAGAUUAAAAAAAGGAAACAGAGAGAGUUCCCACUGUGGCUCAAUAGGGUCAGUAAUGUCUCUGCAGCUCUGGGACGCAGGUUUGAUCCCCUGCCACAGUGGGUUAAGGAUCCAGCGUUGCAGUGUAUGUUGCAACUGCAGCUCAGAUCCCUGGCUCAGGAAAUCCAUAUGCUGCAGGGCAGCCAAAAAAGAAAAAGGAAACAGAGAAGUCAGUUAUACUCCAAUAAAAUUUAUUGGAAAAAAGGAGAUAGAGAAGAAUAGAGAUGUCAGAGGGCUUCACCUAGCCUUCAUUGUCCAAGAUGGUAGCUCCAAUGUGGUGGCCACUCGCCACAUCUAAAAGGAAAUCCAUUCUUUGCCAGAUUUUAUUAAUGGGAAAGGCCCUGCCUCUUUCAACCAAAACCUUUUGUAGCUCAGCAGCUUCUCUAACUUAAUUGUAUGUGUGCAUUUAAUCACACACUCAUUAUCUCACUUAAUCUCUUACCCACUCUUUCACCCCAUUGCCAUCCAAGGAGGAGACUGGUGAUACCACACCCAGACUAUGAUGAACCCCAUAGAAGCUGGCUAUGUUCCACCUUGGUAAAUCCAGUCUGUCUCCAUAUUCAAUGAUAUGAGCUUUGUGUCUAGCCAUCCUAUUAUCUUGCGGUUCCUAUUAAACACAUAGCUUUCUUUGACUCCAAAAAUGAGAACUGCAUUUUAGUGGUGAGUGAUGUGACUACUAAGUACAUGGAUUAAAAAAAAAAAAAAUGAAACGACUCUGGGAUUUUCCAGGAUAAGGAGUCGUUACAGACAUUGUGUUGUCUCAGAUGUCUUGGAGAUUAAAAAGGCCUAAAUCAGCUCCUGAGCAUUUUAUUAGUGAAUCUGUGUCAUUUAAAAAUCCUUUCCUAAAACUUUCCUACCCACCCUCCAACCCCCACUUGAAUGAAGAAGUAAUUAAGGAUGAGAUCAGAAUCUCCACUUCAUCUUGACCCAUUCCAGAUGGUGUUGUAGUCAUGGCUUUAUCAGUAAAGAGUAGAAGGGCAGGCCGGGGCUUUGCCAAGAAAAUAGUACUUGCAUUAAUUCAGUCAUUUAGAUUUGUGUCAAGACUCUCACUGUCUUUUAUCUAAUACUCUCCAUUGCUCUCUUCUAAUUCAAUCUGCUGAUGCAUUCAGGUGUGUGCACCCUGCACCCUGGAAUUGUUUCUGAAAGGUGCCUGAAUUGUCAGUCCUGUGUUGAAUUAUCAGGCUUUGAAGAUACAAGGAAAUGCUGUCCUUUCAAGAAAUCCUGGUAGAAAAUGCUUUAUAGUCAACCUUUGUUAAUAUAUUCAGCAAUUGUUCAUGAAUCACCUACUAUGUGCCAGAGUGAUGUUGGGUUCUAGAGAAUAGCCUUAUAUAAACUAUGCUCUUAAGAUGUCCAUGAUCUCAUAUUGGAAAGUCUAUGGUUCUCAUGUUGGGCACUAUUCAGAGUGUUCUUACAUAUUUAACUCACUUCAAUAUCACAAUAACACUGUGAAGUUGAUAUUGUCAUGAGCAACCCCAUGUUGCAGAUGAGGAAACAGGAAUAUAGAAUUUAGUGCCACAUCCCGUAUCAUACAGCUAAUAAAGGCUGAACUGGCAUUAGAACAAGGCUGUCCAUCUCCAGUCUUUGCUCCUAACCACUAGGCUUUACUUUCUCUUCUCCACCCCUCUAUGACUGCCAAUGGAGGACAAAAGGAAAACUCCCCUUGAAAUUAACUUAUACGGAGUUCCUGUUGUGCCCCAGCGAAAAUGAAUCCAACUAGGAACCAUGAGGUUGCGGAUUCGAUCCCUGGCCUUGCUCAGUGGUUUAGGGAAUUGGCCUUGCCAUGAGCUGUGGUGUAGGUCACAGACUCGGCUCAGAUCUGAUGUUGCUGAGGCUGUGGCGUAGGCUGGCAGCUACAGCUCCGAUUCGACCCCUAGCCUGGGAACCUCCACAUGCCAUGGGUGAGGCCCUAAAAAGCAAAAAGAAAGAAAAAAAA